rnacentral:tRNA from 1 species
GGUCAUGUGGCCGAGUUGGUUAGGCAAGGGUCUGCAAAACCCUUUUACGCCGGUUCGAAUCCGGCUGUGACCUCAA